rnacentral:rRNA from 1 species
GAUGAACGCUGGCGGCGUGCCUAAUACAUGCAAGUCGAGCGAACAGGCGAGGCUCUUGCUCCUCUGACGUUAGCCGCGGACGGGUGAGUAACACGUGGAUAACCUACCUAUAAGACUGGUAUAACUUCGGGAAACCGGAGCUAAUACCGGAUAAUAUAUUGAACCGCAUUGUUCGAUAGUGAAAGACGGUUUUGCUGUCACUUAUCGAUGGAUCCCCGCCGCAUUAGCUAGUUGGUAAGGUAACAGCUUACCAAGGCAACGAUGCGUAGCCGACCUGAGAGGGUGAUCGGCCACACUGGAACUGAGACACGGUCCUGACUCCUACGGGAGGCAGCAGUAGGGAAUCUGACGCAAUGGGCGAAAGCUUGACGGAGCAACGCCGCGUGAGUGAUGAAGGUCUUCGGAUCGUAAAACUCUGUUAUGAGGGAAGAACAAAUGUGUAAGUAACUAUGCACGUCUUGACGGUAACUAAUCAGAAAGCCACGGCUAACUACGUG